rnacentral:rRNA from 1 species
AUUGAACGCUGGCGGCAUGCCUUACAUAUGCAAGUCGAACGGUAACAGGUCUUCGGAUGCUGACGAGUGGCGAACGGGUGAGUAAUACAUCGGAACGUGCCCGAUCGUGGGGGAUAACGAAGCGAAAGCUUUGCUAAUACCGCAUAAGAUCUACGGAUGAAAGCAGGGGACCGCAAGGCCUUGCGCGAACGGAGCGGCCGAUGGCAGAUUAGGUAGUUGGUGGGAUAAAAGCUUACCAAGCCGACGAUCUGUAGCUGGUCUGAGAGGACGACCAGCCACACUGGGACUGAGACACGGCCCAGACUCCUACGGGAGGCAGCAGUGGGGAAUUUUGGACAAUGGGCGAAAGCCUGAUCCAGCCAUGCCGCGUGCAGGAUGAAGGCCUUCGGGUUGUAAACUGCUUUUGUACGGAACGAAAAGACUCUGGUUAAUACCUGGGGACCAUGACGGUACCGUAAGAAUAAGCACCGGCUAACUACGUGCCAGCAGCCGCGGUAAUACGUAGGGUGCAAGCGUUAAUCGGAAUUACUGGGCGUAAAGCGUGCGCAGGCGGUUAUAUAAGACAGAUGUGAAAUCCCCGGGCUCAACCUGGGAACUGCAUUUGUGACUGUAUAGCUAGAGUACGGCAGAGGGGGAUGGAAUUCCGCGUGUAGCAGUGAAAUGCGUAGAUAUGCGGAGGAACACCGAUGGCGAAGGCAAUCCCCUGGGCCUGUACUGACGCUCAUGCACGAAAGCGUGGGGAGCAAACAGG